CCUGAUUUGAUCACUACACAUUGAAUGUAUCACAACAUCAUUAUGUGCCUUUGUGUACCUCAUAAAUAUGUACAAUUAUUAUGUGUCAAUUUUUUUAAUUAAAAAAAUAUUGAAGGAGGUUGGAGAGAAGAUCUUGAUAACACUUUUGGUUACAUUGAAUUUCAAGAUGUUCAAGAGGGGAUAUCAAAUGUCAAUUGUAAAGCUGUAUUUUAAACUUCAUUGAGAGAUUUGGGUUGAAUAAAGAAAUGUGUAUGUCAUCUGUGCAUAAGUGGAUAUGACCUCCCAGAGAGACAGUUUAAAGAAGAGUAGAAGUCUAGCACUGAGCCUUGUGAUGCCACAAUAGCUAAAGGCCAAGUGGAGGAAGGACCAAAGGAAACCAGUUAGGAAGCUGUUUAAUAAUCCAGCCAAGUGCCAGUGAAAAUCUGAUCUGGCAUGAUGACAGUAGGACCGCAAAGAAAGGGAAGAAUAAAAAGAACGUUAUUAUUUAUUUUUUUAACACAAAGGAAACCAGCUGGUGAAGGGAUUAUGCAAGAAAGUGACAGACAAGCAUGACCUCUGACCAAGAGAGCAUGUGAUAACCCUGAUAAGACAGAGGACAUGGAAGCAUGCUACAGGAUAAGAUGGGUGAUUUGUAUGUACAAUGAGGUUUGAAAAGCACUGAUUGAGAGACCAGACUGGAUGAGAACAGACAUGGAGUCAGAAGAGAGAGAUAAAAUAUUCACCCACGAAAAGAUCCCCAACUCAAGACUAAAUCAGCAGAGCAGUGACAUUAAAGGAGCAACUCUGUCAAAUACAAGCUCUCCACAAGGAAAGAAGUUGAAGAACAAAAGCCUGAAGCUUAGUCUGCAAUUGAUUGUCUCAUGUGCCUCUAACAAGAAAUGGAAGAGACAUUUUUCCACUUUACUUCUAUGAAACUACUACCUCUCUAGAAACAUUUUUAGACUGCAACCUAUUAAAGGAUAUAUAAAGAAAUAAAGCAGCUGGACCUAUAGGUUUUGGUGGAAAACUAAUUAAAUUUGAACUAAUUUCCUACAAAACUUUUUUC
ensembl:lincRNA